UACGGAGGGUGCAAACGUUGCUCGGAAUUACUGGGCGUAAAGCGUGCGCAGGCGGUUUUGUAAGCCAGAUGUGAAAUCCCCGGGCUUAACCUGGGAAUGGCAUUUGGGACUGCAAGGCUGGAGUGUGGCAGAGGAGACUGGAAUUCCUGGUGUAGCAGUGAAAUGCGUAGAUAUCAGGAGGAAUACCGAUGGCGAAGGCAGGUCUCUGGGCUGACACUGACGCUCAUGCACGAAAGCGUGGGGAGCAAACAGG
rnacentral:rRNA from 1 species